rnacentral:lncRNA from 1 species
UCAAUAUCUCAUUAUAUUGUCUAUACAGGCAUAAGAUAAGUACAUAAUAAUAAGUGAUUAAAGAAUUGAAAUUGUGAUAGAUACUUACUCAAUAUAUGGAUCGACCUCCAUAUAGUUUAACAAAAUAUGUCUCUGUCUGUCGAAUUUCAGUAUUAGUUAAUAUCCGACAAACCUCAUACCCAAAUUCACGAGCAGGAAAGAAAAAUAUUG